rnacentral:tRNA from 1 species
UAGCUCAGUUGGUUAGAGCAUGGUGCUAAUAACACCAAGGUUGUGGGUUUGAUCCCCAU